rnacentral:rRNA from 1 species
AUGGAUAAAAAACAAGAAGAUGAGGAAUUUGAGGCAGGACUGAUUCCAUUUGCUUUGGAAAUGGCGUCGUUAAGCAAAUCGUUGCCAUAUGCGUCAAGAAGAUUACCCCUUGUUACUGGCCUCCAAUGGGUGGAAGAGAAGGAGCGAGAUCCAAAAGCAUUCUACGCUAUGUUCAGAAUGAGGAGGUUAGUGUUUUACCCAUUGCAUGAUCUGUUGGUUGAGAACUAUGGCCUUCAGUCAACUUGCAACAUAUCAUCCAAAGAAGCGUUGGCGCUUUUUCUAUGGACUUUGGGGACAACGCAGACCACUGACAAUGUGGCGGAUCGGUUUGCACAUAGUCGUUCGGUCACCAACAAAAAAUUCCAUGAGGUUUUGGAGUGUGUAGACCGCAUGGCCGGUGACUACAUUAGGCCAAUGGAUCCAUCUUUCUCUGAACCUCAUCCAAUACUUAGAAAAACAAGGUUCUGGCCUCAUUUCAAAAAUGCUAUUGGAGCCAUAGAUGGAACACACAUUAAAGUGGUUGUGCCCAAGGAAUUGGAGCCCCAACAUAGGAAUAGGAAAGGGUACACAACCGAAAAUGUCAUGGCAGUGUGUGAUUUUGAUAUGAGGUUCACUUUUGUUGUUCCUGGAUGGCCCGGAUCUGUUCAUGACACACGUGUAUGGAGCGAUGCUAUAGUUCGCUAUGAGCAUUAUCCACAACCACCCACAGAUAAAUACUACCUUGUCGACUCCGGAUAUCCCAACAGAGUUGGAUAUCUAGCACCAUACAAAGGGCAAUGGUAUCAUGUACCUGAUUUCCAACAACACCCUCCCAUGGGGAGGUAUGAGACAUUCAACCAUCGACAUUCUUCUUUGCGCAAUGUUAUCGAAAGAUCAUUUGGUGUUCUCAAGAUGAAAUGGCGUAUUCUCCAAGGCAUACCACGGUACAAACCGGAGACCCAAAAGAUGAUCAUCACUGCAUGCAUGUGUCUUCACAACUACAUUCGUGAUAGCAAGUUACGUGAUGAGCAUUUUGACAAGUUUGACAAUGAUGCAUACGUGCAACCUCCACAGCCGUUUACAGGUGCCAACGCUUUACCACCUGACGAUGAUGGUACCAUGGCCGCUACACAUGAGGCUAUUGUCGUCAGCCUUGUACCUUGA